rnacentral:rRNA from 1 species
UACGUAGGGUGCGAGCGUUAAUCGGAAUUACUGGGCGUAAAGCGUGCGCAGGCGGUUCGUUGUGUCUGAUGUGAAAGCCCCGGGCUCAACCUGGGAAUGGCAUUGGAAACUGGCGAGCUAGAGUGUGGCAGAGGGGGGUGGAAUUCCGCGUGUAGCAGUGAAAUGCGUAGAGAUGCGGAGGAACACCGAUGGCGAAGGCAGCCCCCUGGGCUGACACUGACGCUCAGGCACGAAAGCGUGGGGAGCGAACAGG